AAGUACUGUAAAUAAUACAAGAGAAAAAAAUUCAUUUUAGCCUUAAGUAUCUGUGAUAUCUAGUUAACUCUCUAAACAAACAAUCUGUGAUGUUCAGUUAACUCUCUAAACAAAAGUUUGGUCGUUGGUCCUGUUCCUGUCUAAAAACAUGUUCCUUAUUAAACUAGUAUGGUUGAUUGUCUCAUUCCACCACUGUUCCGCGGCGCCUCCAUCUGCAAUCCGCCGGGAGCUCAGGGCUUCCGAUCAGCGAACUGCAGAAAUCCCCGCUGUGUGAUGAUCGAUCGGGUAUGGCGCUUAAGGCCACGGCUCAGGCCGCUGCGGAGGCGGCCAUAGCGGCCAUCGGCUGCGGCUACGAUGUCGCGGCGGACAUCCGGCUCAAGUACUGCAAGGGGAAGCUGAACGGUGCCGCACACCUCAUUGACUUCGGCCGCGAUGAGGUUCAGGACAUGGUGCUCCCCGGUGGGCUGAAGGUGCCGGGCGUCCCCAAGUCCAUCAAGUGUGACGUGGGUGAGCCGAAGCCGAUGCGGCUCCGCUCCGAUUUCCUCUCGUUUCAGCAGAUGUCAGAGAACUUCAACCGGGAGUUAUCUUUGACUGGGAGCAUUCCGUCCGGCAUGUUCAAUAGUAUGUUUGAAUUUUCUGGCUGAUGGCAGAGAGAUGCAGCUAAUACCAAGUCACUUGCUUUUGAUGGUUUCUUCAUUUCACUAUACACCGUUGCACUUCCACCCUCACGUAUCCUACUGCUUGAUCAUGUUACUAAGGCAGUUCCUUCAACCUGGGAUCCUCUUGCAUUGGCAAGGUUCAUUCAAAAGUUUGGAACUCACAUAGUUAUUGGUGUAAAAAUUGGGGGAACAGAUGUUAUUUAUCUGAAGGAACAGCAUUCCUCCAGCUUGCAACCAGCUGUGGUUCAGCAACGAAUGAAGGAGAUGUCAGACAGGAAAUUUCUGGAUGCAAGUGGUCAGUCUGACAUUAGCAACAAGGAUGCAUCUGGGAAAGAUAAGAAUGUUGUGAGAGAGCGACGACUAAGAUUUGCAGAAUCAAGUCCAUCAAGUUCUUACUCUUCGAAAGAGGAUAUUGUGUUUCUGGUUAAAAGGAGAGGUGGAAAUGAAUGGGACAAAGAGAUGCCUCAUAGCGAGUGGAUAAAAACUGUUCAAACAGAACCUGAUGUUAUCUCAAUGUCCUUUCUACCUGUUACUUCAUUGUUGAAUGGAGUACCUGGCGUGGGCUUUGUCAGCCAUGCAAUUAAUCUGUACCUACGCUAUAAGCCUCCAAUUGAAGAACUACACCAAUUUCUUGAGUUUCAGCUACCAAGGGUUUGGGCGCCGCAGCACAGUGAUACUCUCCUACUCCCUGAUCGAAGGAGUAGUGCAUCUUUGACCAUAAAUUUCAUUGGUCCGAAGCUCUGUGUCUGCAAUGAAAUGGUUGAUGUGGGUGAAAGACCUGUCACUGGACUACGGUUAUAUCUCGAGGGAAGGAAAUGCAACAAGUUGGCUAUACAUCUUCAACAUCUAAGUUCCUUUCCACGAACCAUCCAACUCGUGGAUGAUCCUUACAACCACAGAACUCCUAAACCACAUGACCCCAUGUACUUCGAAUCAUUUGGGUCAUGGAAGGGUUUCUCUUAUGUCUGCACAGCACCAGUGGAGUCAGAUGACGACACCUCAAUUGUUACUGGGGCACAGUUACUUGUGAGCAGCCAUGGAUUCAGGAAAGUACUUUCCCUUCACCUCCGUUUCUCAAAAGUCUGCAAUGCUGUAAUCGUGAAGAACCCUGUGUGGGAUGGAUCACCAGAUCUGGCCUGGAAUUCUAGUCUUGUAACCACAAAAGACUCCUCAGGAUCCAAGAAACGUGCCGAUCAUGUGAACAUCAACUCAGCUGUGUACCCUGCCGGUCCACCUGUGCCUGUGCAGGCACCAAAACUUCUCAAGUUUGUGGACACAGCAGAGAUUGUCCGUGGACUACAAGACAUGCCGGGCUACUGGGUGGUCUCUGGUGCAAAACUGCAACAAGAGAGAGGCAAGAUAUCGCUAUGUGUGAAGUAUUCACUCUUGACGACCAUGGUACCUAAAACCGAGUAUCCACCUGUUGAACAAAAUUGAAACUUGGACCAAGAAUCAAAGAGAGACUGAUGUGCAUUUACUCAUGCAGCGCAUGACAAUGUUUCAGCGUGCUUUCGGUCAAUGCUGUUAAUAUGCACUUUCUUGUCUUUAGGUUGUUAAUAUUUCCCCGUGAAUCAGGAUGUCUAUAGGAAAAUCUGAGUCAAAUUUAUUAUGAUGAAUUUACUAUUAAGAUGUGAGGAAAAUGUAAGUUUUAUUGAACAGACCCAAGGGAGAAGUAGGCGAGAUUCAGUGCUGCAUAGGAGUUCCAACGUCCUUUUAGAGCAUCACCAACAAUUCCCUAAAGGAAGAAGCCCAAUUUUGCUCC